rnacentral:misc_RNA from 1 species
CUGGGUUUUGUCUUCGGACGUCCACCCACCCUCUGUCAUUGCAAAUGAUCUUUUCGGUCGUUUGGGGUAACACUCGAACGACCGGCAUUGCAAAAUUCUCUAUGUAUUUUGAAGUUUGAUUUUAAAACAAAUGAAAAA